AAGAAGUCAGGCCGGAUUAAGCCAUAGCACGGAAAGAGCUAUGCUGCCUGUGAGCCCCGUCCAAGGACGUGAAACGAAGUCAGGCCGAAAGCCACGGCUUGAGCAAACCGUGCUGCCUGUGGCUCCAUCGUGGA
rnacentral:lncRNA from 1 species